UCAAACCUCCCUCGUCAACCCGCACGCACCGACCGCUGCGCUCCACUCCUCCUCGUCACGGUGCCGUCGUCGCCAAUACCUCUCCUUCCCCUCCGCCCCCGCGCCGCCUCCUUUCCCCCGUCGCCGCCUCCUCCCCGCGAACCGCAUCCCUCCAGAUCGGCGCCGCCGCCCCCAUCUUCUCCUCGCUAUUCUCCGGCCGCCGCUGAAGCCCUUCGCCUGCCCCGCUGGAGCUGCUCCUCCUCCGCCGCCUAAGCUCUUCCUCCAUCUCCACCACCGCCACCGACUUCUUCUUCGACCCCGCCACGCCCCACCUGUCUUCCGCCGCCGACUGAAUUCCCGUCGCGUCCGCCGCAAUCUCCGCCCGCACCCGCCACCGCUCCCCUCCUCCUACAAGGCUACCAUCUGGUCUGGCAGCCCCACGAGCUUCGCCCACGGGCGAAACCUCCUCGAGAUCCCGCUGGUCCGACUCCGCGGCGAGCGAGUGAGCGAGUGAUAUCGGCGGCGACGGUGCAGGCGCUGAGCAGCGGGCAUCAGAUGCCAAGUGAUGAGAUUGGGCAUCUGGCGGAUGGAGACCCGGCCAUCCUCGGCCUCAUCCAUUCUGCCCUCCUCGCUGGGUAGUGGGUACCGUCGGUAGGGUGGGGUUCAAGUGAACGGCGGCCGUGAUGACGACGGCCACGGCAACGAAGACGAGUCGACAACGGCCACGACGGCCAGUAAGGAGCUAUCAGCUACACAAACAAUCUGAAGCUGAAUUCCAAGCACUUGAAGGGAUGCUUAUUGUAGAAAAUGCCUCAGAUUGUGAUGCCAGUGAGGAAUUGAGUUCAGGGAUAUGCCACCUAGAAAGGCUGCAGAGAUAAGCAAAAUCUAUGCAAGAGAGAGAUGAGGAUGUUACGAUUCUUAAACGUUCUGUCAAGGAGCUUGAAUCUACAGUAACUGUUCUCGAGGAAGAAAGGGCGUCAUAGCUGGAGCGGCUGGUGUUGCGAUAGAGGCGUUGUCAAAUAAGACAAAAGAGAGAAAGUUUUGAUGCAUAUUUUUGAGGGUGUCAUUAAAGUUUGUUGUCCCGUUGCACCACUCGCUUCGCGUUACGUACGCGGUUACGCCAACCCGUCUUCUGCCUCGCUCGCCCCGAAGCGGCGGUGGCUAGGGUUUAAGGGGACGGCCGACGCCCCCGGCGGCAUACAGCCCUCUUCCUCCCCAUGGCCAAGUCGAGGAGCGGAGAUGGAGAGGGGAAUCAGGAUUCGCCUCGUCCGCGCAAAGCGCAAGCGCAAGGCCGGUGCUCCUCAACUGCCGGGGCUGUCGGCAACGCCAAAAGCCACCUCUACGCCUGAUGCAAAUGUCACGGACUUAAUACCAAGACAAAGACGACUUUCUCAUGAGAACACUGAUGCUAAUCGUGUUAAGGACAUUGUCUUAGGCCACCAUAGCAACAUAAUGCCUAGGUUUGUGGUGUCUAGAUCCAUAAUUUUUUUCUUCGAAGGAAUAACUUUUAGAGAUUUAUCAUGUGGUAUCGAAUUUUUUUGUGUAGGCAUCGAAAGCUCUUAACUGAUAUAGCUUCACUGAUUCCGCACAUGCCCGAUAUUGAAAUUAAUGAUGAUAGAUCCACCUUUUUGGAAAGGGUUACCUCUUCCUGCGUCAUUUAUAUGGAGGUGAAUAUUUAUACUAAUUCAUUUUCUUCCCUAACUUAUCCAAUGCAUGUUCUUAUGUUUUCAAUGUAUACUAGUGGGUUGAACUGGAGGAGUGUGUGUAUAUGUGGAUCGGUGAUAAAGAAAAAGUUUUUAAGAUUGAACUCCUUGCAGUGUUUGAGUCAAGAUCAAAAGUUGUAGCCUGCAAAAAUCCUCUCUUAUCCUUUUCUUGUGGGUUUGAUGAUGUUGAAUAUUGGAAUGACUUUUAAACAUAUCUUAGAAGAGAUUUUUGGAUUGUCCCAAGAUAAAAGCAUUGCACCAGAUUGUGUUUAUGCAUUAACAAGAUUGGGCAAGACUCUGCAUUUUGAGAUAUAUCAGGUGCUGGGCAAAGAGAAUGAAAUGAAUCUGACAAAGAUAGCCCCUUCUUUUUCUUUGAAACCAAUUGAGAUGAAUUCUGGACAGAUUUGCCUUCCAAUAUUUGACUCCAAGAAGCUAAUAGCUGAGGUACAAUGUUUGCUUUUAUUUUUUCUACAUUUCGUUUGUUUAAAAUUUAUUUAGAUCAUUUGUUCAAUUGUUGCUUAAUGAUGACUGUAGGAAUGUUCAGUGCUUCAUCUUGUGCAUUUAUCUGGAUUUGUUCCCUCAUGUGGAUCUUUGAUUCAACACACAGUUGAGCAUCCGCUUAUUUCAAAUGAUUUGCUUCUACCUUGUCCUCAAGAUAUAUCACAACUCCAUGGUUUUAACAGCAAUCUUUCUGAGUUCCUACAAAGGUACCCCGCGACAUAGCAGGCUGCUGUUCUAGGAAGUAACCCUGAAACAAUAUAUAGAGAUAUCACAGAUUCUUUCAGGGUUUUUUCAAGAUCUUUGAUUUUGAUUGCAGGAGCAGCUAUAAAACACAAGCUAUGCAUUAGAGGACUAGGUAUAGAAAAAAUCUUAGUAAAACAAGGAGUGGCGAGACUCCAUGAUGUUGAGCUUGUUCCAUAUUCAGAAGUAGGGGCACUUACAAUGUUUCGGCGAAUAAGACGAGUGCUUACAGGAUGCAUGCCUGAAGGUAUUCCGGAUGAUGUCAAACUAGUGCUGAGUCUUUUGAAAGACAACCCUUUGGAAGCAUAUGACCUGAUAGCCCACAGCCCUGCAUGGAUUCCAGCAUGGGAUAGGUGUCAUUAUCUUGAGGACACUUACAGUUUGUUCAAAUCUGAUCUCUCUCUUGAGUCAAGGAUAAUUUUCGCUAAUACUCUUCAGUCGCUGCUAGCGAAUUGGAGAGAGGAAAUGGAACAAAAUAGCCUUCUAGAUGCGCACAACCGACGAAUGCCUAAAGGUUAUGAAAAUAAAACAAAAGAACAACAAGAGAAAGACAGGGAACAUGUCAAGAACAGAAAGAUAGAGGCUCUGAAGAAGGAAAUCUUGGAGAAGGGUAUCACGGCCUCGGAUGAUGACUUACGUUCACUGUUGACGUGUCAAGAGUUUUUUGCCUCUUGCAGACAUUCAAUUGUCCAUUUACCUGAAGUCGCAACGGAGCUCGGACUCUUGCCAAUGCCAGCUGAAAUGAAGAACUUCAUCAUAUCUUCCAAAUUUGCCGCUUUCUAUCCUUUAAUACAAGAAGGUCUGUGCAAGGUCAAGUCAAUGACUCCGGAGCAACUCGGUUUAAUCAAGUACUUCAAGACCUCCUCGUUUUAACUCAGUAGCUUGUCUGGAAUGACUGCAACUUAGAAGAAAGAGAAAAAAAAACAUUAAAGAGGCUUAUGGAUCUUUGCUUGGUGUUCUUUCAAGGAGUUUUGUCAGCCAAGCAUGAGAGGAAGCUCAAACCGAUGGAAUUGAAAUGUUCUUCACGGAAUUUUGUCAGCUAGCAUGAGAGUAAGCUCAAACCAAUGCAAUGGAAAACAAAACCUGCUAUGUGGCAUGGGCGUGCUAUCAUCCAAUAGCAUCUGACAGACAUUCGCAUCCUUUUUGUCCUCGACUCUAACCUAACCUGAUGGCGGCUUACUGAUACAUGUACGAAAUCUAUGCUAAUGGCUUCGUUUGAUUAACGAGCCUCGAAAUAUUGCUGAAACAUCAGCAGAAGCUUAGUAUUCAUUCAUUGUACUUAAGCACAGCCAUGACAGUGUGACAUUGACACGCCCCCCCUGCCUGUUGUCCGUCUGCAGCUUCGUGCCCACUUUGGAUCAGGCUCCGUUUUCUCCAGGUGGUCAUUUGAAGGACAGAUCAUACUAAUUGCUUGACCCGGUUGCCCAUGGCCGACCAUGGAGCUUGCACCAUGGCAAAACUUGACAGAUUGUGAUCACAAAAUGCAGAUUUUGUCAUAUUGGGGCUAGGGUCUUUGUGUUGGUUGCA